ACAUUAAAACACGCGGUCCUGACUAACACCAGACAUUAGACCAAGCUAGUUUUUGUAGUUAAGUUAUUCACAACGAUCUCUGGUUGCUCAGAAGUGUUUUGUGCUAACGUUAUUCUUUAGCUAGUGGUCUUUUAGCUAACAGAAAUCCAUAGUUAACCUGACUGCAUUGUGUUAAACUGAAACAGCUUCAUGUUACAAAUCAAACUUGUCAACACGCUUUAAUGUUACAGAUGUUAGCUUUAUAUAUUCUGCCUUCAUAGCACAUGCAAGAGCACUGUAACAUGUGUUUAGCCUAUGUCACCCCCUGGCUAACUCAACAUAGUUAUACUAGUUCAACUGUGAAAACAUCCUGUUUUUUCAUCCCUGUAACUUCAUAGUUAAUUAUUCUAACCUUAGGUCUGAUAGAGAUGGCAAAAUAGUCUGGUCUGCCGUCUACUACCAAACUGCGUGAAAUUACUGUGUUCCAAGAUGUCUGACGAGCACUCCUUCUGAUGAAUCCAGUCUCUCCCAUCAUCCCAGGUCUCACUGUGCAAGAACCUGAACCUGAGAUCCUGUGUAUGACCAAAGGGAUGCUGCUGAUGGAGACCUGACUUCACCACCACCUUGGCUGCCAUCUUCACAUCUUGCUAUAGGUUCACAGUUGAAUAUCAGGAGGAAACAAUGACAUCACUGGAGUUCAAAAGUAGCUGCCAUCCAGUUUGCUGAAGAACACGAAGCAGCAGUGGAGGCUCCUGACCUGCAUCCAAAGCCUUUUGGCCCAGUGGACUUGUGAUGCAAAGUGAACUGAGGUGGGCUGUUGGACCCUUUAAAGACAAGUACGCAUUCACAAUCACAAUUUUAAAGACUCUAUAGACACCUGAGUACCUGGUGACUUGACAUCUCCCACAGCUGAAUAUCCAUGUUUAGAUUACCUAAGAGUCUUUUGUUUCAAGGAAAUAACAGUGUCUAUUGUCAGUGUCUGUAUUUUACAUAUAUAUAUAAAUAAAUAACUGAACUUGAACUUGAUAUAUAUAUAUAUAUAUAUAUAUAUAUAUCAAGUUCAGUUAUUUGAUUUUGUUUUUUGUUUUUUGUUUAACUUGCAGUGGGCUUAUUAAAUGACAUCUGUAUCAUUUUUUCGUGAUGAUUUAUUAAACUGUGGUUACAGAUUUAAACAAGCUUUUUACAUUUUGUAUUUUUAAUGUUGUCAUUUUAAUAUUUGCUAAUGUUUGUAAUAUAUACAUUUGAAAACUUUGUUACAGAAUGAUAUUUAGAGGACAGAAAGCUGCAUAUGGUCCCUGCUUCUUUUACGGCAAACACUGAAAAGAAAACAUUUAUUUAUUUUACGUUCUUAUUUACUAUAUUCUUAUUUACUGUCAUACUGUCAUUCACUGUCAUACUAUCAUUAUGAUGUAUAUGUAAUCUCACAAAUCACAUAUAAUCAAUAUACGGGCACAGAAGUGUGAUAAAAGAAUCAUAAUUCAUACACUGGAUAAAUUUGAGUGUGUUUGUAUUAAAGUCUUCACCUUUUUUAAAAAAUACUCUUUGGAGACGAUCAAGAAAUAAGGGUGUAAAAUGGCAAGAAUAACUUAUAAAAAAUAAUAAGGCCGGGAGACGAUUUGGCAAUAAUGGUAUAAAAUGAUCCUCAACAGUUAUUAGAAAAAGAACAUGAUUGGAGAAAACUGGAUAUGCAUUGGCAUAUCCAGUUCAGCUCAAAACCUAUCUUGGAGAGUUUUGGUGACACGAGUGACAAGGAUAAAUUAUAAUGGUGUAAUUGGCUAUGAUAAAGAGGAUGGACAAUAGAUGUGACCUAUGUAGACCCAAGGGUAUAAAAAACUACAGAAACCUCAGAGCGACCUGUUGCAUCUUGUGUACACUGUUUGCUCUCCUUUUUUGCUGGCAUUAAAGAACACUUUGCUG